UACGUAGGGUGCAAGCGUUGUCCGGAAUUAUUGGGCGUAAAGAGCUCGUAGGCGGUCUGUCGCGUCUGCUGUGAAAACUCAGGGCUUAACCCUGAGCUUGCAGUGGGUACGGGCAGACUAGAGUGCGGUAGGGGAGACUGGAAUUCCUGGUGUAGCGGUGAAAUGCGCAGAUAGUCAGGAGGAACACCGGUGGCGAAGGCGGGACUCUGGGCCGAUGACUGACG
rnacentral:rRNA from 1 species